rnacentral:lncRNA from 1 species
UAAUUAUGAAAAAUUAAUUAUUAAAUGUUCUAUAUAAUAAAAAAUGAGGGACUUGAUUACAAUUUGUCCAUUUAUUUUUAUACGAACAAAAGGCAGAAAGCCAAAAACAAAGAAGAAAAGAAAAGUAGAAAGGGGAAAGAUAAGAAACGAAAGAAGAAAAAGUAGAAUGAGUCAAAUCUCUUGGUUCCUCUUGACGACUAACCUCUUUCUCUAUCUUCUCUUUGACAACUAACCUAGUGUCCUCGCCUCAACCUAGCUCCGAAUCCUAUAGCUGCUGUACAUCAUCAUACCUCGUUGAAAAUUGCCGUGUCCACCCUAUAUUUCAUACCUGUACCCAUAUCGUCUUUUGUCGACACUAGUAUGCCUACCGAAAAGGAGAGACCAAACAAUAAAGAAAACUAGCAUGGGUUAGGCUGAAGCGGUUAUUUUGCUACAGUUUUAUUGCGUGUAUUCUUUGAUAGUUCAAUUUGACUUAAAAUAAAUAAAUUAAAAAUAAGAGAGAGAGAAGAGUGUUUGCUUCGAUGGGUCCACGUAGAUCUAAAUCCAACGAUUUCAAAUUCAAGAUUUCAGUUCAACUUAAUGGGUUGGCAGCUUUUCACCUAUAGGCGGAGCCACACUAGUUGUUAGGCAAUAUCCCACCAAAAUUGAAAAAUUUAUAUUGCAUGGAUUACUAUGACAAAGAUUUUUCUUUUAACAUUUUACAUUAUUGGGUAUGGCUAAACUCAAAUGUAAUAAAAACUUAUUUUUAAGUAAAUUUCUAUUUUCAAAAAGUACGAAUAAAUUAUAUUUUUUGGCUUUCAAGCUAGAAUGGUUACUUAUUCAAAAAAAAUUUAGUCAUCACAUUUAUAAGUAUCAUGGAUUCUUCGGUUCAUAAUACACUAGGAUUGCACCUUUGAUGAAUUUUUUUUAACAACUGAAAGAUGAAACACAAACCCAAAAUUCAGCCAAAGUUCCAUAAAAUAAAAUGCACUAAAAUUAGAGGAAUCAAUUUGGCUUGCUGGCUUGCGACUCAGGCGGCGUUGGCCAAAGCUCAAGCCUGAGCCAUUUUCGACCUGUAAUGAGCUGAGCUUAAAAAAAA